GAUGAGAGGGGAGAAAGAAGGCUCAGUCCAUUCUACAAAACGUACACUUGCUUCGUGCCGAAAUGCUCAUUGGCCACCUGGAGCAGAUAUACAACUUUGCAGCAAGAUAAAAGGCCUCUGCAUUGGACGCCACUCAUGAAGUGAUCACCAGGUUUCAGUGGAUGCAUUGCAGUGUUUACAUUUACAGUUAACGAUAUCUCAGAAGAACAAUUAUUUUGUCAGGCACCUUAACUCUGAGCAUGUUGAUGAAGUAAACUACCUUAUAGUUCUUUCUUAAUGUUUUAGACCCAGUAGGACAUUCUUAUUUCCAAUGGGUCUUAACUUAGAACACUCCUGCUAUUUCAUUGCACUCCCUGCAGA